rnacentral:lncRNA from 1 species
AGAGAGCCAGAACAGAACAUGGCGACACUGGGGUGAUGAGGUGUGGUGGUGGUGGCUGAUAUCAGAUGGAUCCUGACGCCUAAAUGGCGCUCAUUUGAUGGUGCUCUCUGAUGAUGCGUCACAUGCUACAGUACUUCAUUAUAGUGAAGCUGGACAGCGCUCGCGGUUCAUUAAAAAGCAAUAUGUGGAGGUGUGAUUGGCCAUUUCCUGCAGAUAAGUAUCUCCUCAUACAUUUAAAGAAGACAGCCGGACUAGACUGGAUCGUGGAUUCUCUUCAGCUGCAAUGUUGGGUCUCCAGGUCCAGAACAGAAGCUGGGAAACACACAGUAUUAAAUAGAGCAAUGACUACAUGGAACUCUCUACCACCCCAGGGCAAACAGAGGAUGGCUGUGGAGAGGGCAACUGGGGAUCUUUGUCCGGUACUGCAUGAAGAAGGAUGAGACACACACUUCCUGGUCGUGUAGUCCAGUGAGGGAGAUGUGGAAAACAGAAUGUCACGUGUAGAAUCUUCAAGUAGCUUUGAAAUCAGAGAGCGGUAGUUAGAUGUCAAAGAAAGAGGGUAGACUGAUCCAACGUGCCACUACAUCAAGUGUUUGAGAAGACGGACAAGGCCAUCAUUGAUCCUGUCAAGUUCUCAUUUCUCUUGAAUAGCUGUCCAUUGAACGAAGUUAGAAUAAAACUGUCCUGUGUAGCCUCAUAAUGGCCCGUCUCCUCUUGAGAGGAGAGAUGAAGAGACUUGAUUGAUGCUAAGAGGCCUAGUCUCAAUCAUAUUGUUGACCUCCAUCUCUUACCAGUCUCCCUGACACAGUCUCACUCCUUUCUGAGACAAAGCACUCUCUACCUCCCCAAACCCCAGCCAAUUGAUUGGCCCGCCAACUCCAGAAGGCCCCAUUUGAAUGAGCUCCAACCCACUGGCACAGCCUCCUGUAAUGCCUAAUGAUGGACUAAUUCCGCAACCCUGUGGAAUUCCAGAAUCCCAAUCAUGCUCCAAAGAACCAUAUUGGCCAAUUAAAAUGGGUAAGCUUGUUCAGAGCCAAAGAUAGCCAUUCAUGGUAAGGGAGAGAAGGGUUGCGUUCGGUUGGACCUGUCUCUGUUCUAUUCAUGCACCCCAUCCAUUACUGAGCUCCACCAAACAGAUUUGCUUUUGGCACAAAUGUCGGUGCUGGAUGGAUGGAUUUUAGUUAUGUGGUCCUGGUAGUCAAUGCUUAUAUGGGACUGUUUUGUUUCAAUGCGUUUGUGCUCUGUCUGUAGCCUAGAACAUGCAAUCACUCUCAGCUCUGUUCUCAGAAUUGGAGGUGAGACAUUGAGAGUCAUUUUUCCAUGAAUGUUUAAAGCUUGAAACACUGCCAGUAAACAUUGAAUUUGUGUACAGAUAUCUAAGAAAAAGUUUGACCAACCAGAAUCUCUUAUUGAGCAGUUGAAACUGUUUAACAUGAUUAAGUUAUUUUGUUAACAAAGAUUAAAAGAAAA